rnacentral:lncRNA from 1 species
CCACUGUUUACUAAUACCACAUUUGAUAUUAAAAUAGCUUCAUAAGUGUCAAAUGAACACUUAUAAGGUGUGAUAUGCUUGGAAUAACCUAAAUCUACAAUCCAUCUUGAUAUGACAACUAUAGAGGUUCCAUUUAUUGCCAUGAAUGCAUAAUCUUGUCCUCCAAACUCAUCUUGUAUACUAUUUACAUUCUCCUUCUCCAUCUUUCUGCCUUUGUAGCAAUUUUGAGUAAAAUGGCCUACUUUGCCACAAAUGAAGCAAGCUUUGACAUUACCUCGUUGAUUUGGAUAGUUAAUCUUGUCUUGACAUGAGUAGAAUGUUGAAUCUUCACUUUGGAGCUCCUUUUCUUUC